CAACAUGGCCGAGACCAGCGAGGAGGUGGCGGUGCUGGUGCAGCGGGUUGUGAAGGACAUCACUAACGCCUUCAGGAGGAACCCACACAUACUAAAAGAGCAUCAUUAUAUUUGAAGAAACCAAGAUUGAAUGUUCAUUGGCUUGGCAGUUUUUAACACAGUGCAGUUUGGAACAUGUCCCAGUUCUUGUGGAUCACAUUUAUGGAAACUCUUAAAGGACUUUAAUGCCCCUCCCUAAUCCUUUUUCUACUGUAAAACCUCAUUAAUAUAUCCUCAAUGUAUAAUUUAUUAGUAAUAAGGAUUUGGGUCAUUCGAGAUUUAAAACUUUGAGAUAAGUUGGAUAUUCGGAAUAAUGUAAUGAUUUGUAAUAUAGGUCUUAAACAUUUAAAUAGCUUAACUCAUUGUUUAAGACUAGUCAUCAGCUAUAUUUGAAUACAUAUUCCCCACAGUAAAACUAUUUUCAAUAAUAUUACUAUGCAUCUUUGUAAGUGCCUUAUAAUUUGGGCUUUUAAAAAUUGCCUGCGCUUUCUUCCCUUAAUUUAGCCCAUUUACUCCCAAAAUAAAGAGGCUGUGUUUCUUUUUUUUUUUUUAAGGCAUUGUUUAUCUGUAACGUUUGUAUCUAACUUUACUGUAUCUAAUUACACUUUCAGUAUUAUACAAAAAUUUUUUUGUUUUUCUUGUCCAAACUUAAGAUCGGUUGUAAUUUUAUUGGCCAACAUCUACUUCAUUAAAUACAUUGACUUUGUUUAUGUAGAAAUAUUUAGCCAGAAGGAGUUGAGGAUGCAGUGGUGAGAUGUGGAUUUUGUUACUGUAUGAUGUGAAUAGGUACCUUCUCUCAGCCUCAGUUUCCUCUUGAUCUUGUGAGGCUGAUGAAAACAGGAAAAUCACCUCACACAGUGGUACUUAGUUGCCACUCAAUAAAUAUUAGACCUUCCCUGAAUCUCUGUGUUCCUCACCAAAAAUAUAUUGGACAAAUGAUUGGUGAAUAUGAAGCACUUUAUAAACCUGGAUAAUACUAUAUAAAUGCUGUUUGUAUGGUUGAGUAUUAGAUAAUCAUAUUGGAUUCUCUAAAACUGAAAACUUGACCUAGGGAUAGUCUUUAACUUAGUGUAUGGACCCUGUGCUAAUGUAGAAGACAACAGUUUAUAAUGUAAACAGUCACGUUAAAAUUAAUCUUAUCCAGCAAGUUAUUGUUUUUUCUAUUAAAUAUUGAACUCACUGUU
rnacentral:lncRNA from 10 species